UACGGGGGGGGUAAGCGUUGUUCGGAAUUACUGGGCGUAAAGGGCGCGUAGGCGGCCUUCUAAGUCGAACGUGAAAUCCCCGGGCUCAACCCGGGAACUGCGUCCGAUACUGGAGGGCUUGAAUCCGGGAGAGGGAUGUGGAAUUCCAGGUGUAGCGGUGAAAUGCGUAGAUAUCUGGAGGAACACCGGUGGCGAAGGCGACAUCCUGGACCGGUAUUGACGCUGAGGCGCGAAAGCCAGGGGAGCAAACGGG
rnacentral:rRNA from 1 species